UAGUAAUCGCGGAUCAGCAUGCCGCGGUGAAUACGUUCCCGGGCCUUGUACACACCGCCCGUCACACCAUGAGAGUUGGGAAUACCCGAAGCCUGUGAGCUAACGUUAAGAGGCAGCAGUCGAAGGUAGAAUCAAUGAUUGGGGUGAAGUCGUAACAAGGUAAC
rnacentral:rRNA from 1 species